CCUACGGGAGGCAGCAGUCGAGAAUAAUUCACAAUGGGGGCAACCCUGAUGGUGCAACGCCGCGUGGAGGAUGAAGGUCUUCGGAUUGUAAACUCCUGUCAUCCGGGAGUAAGACCUGACGGUGAAUAGCCGGCAGGGUUGAUAGUACCGGAAGAGGAAGGGACGGCUAACUUCGUGCCAGCAGCCGCGGUAAUACGAAGGUCCCGAGCGUUGUUCGGAAUCACUGGGCGUAAAGGGAGCGUAGGCGGCGUGGUAAGUCAGAUGUGAAAUCCCGGGGCUCAACCCCGGAACUGCAUCCGAUACUGCCGUGCUUUGAGGGUUGGAGAGGUAGCUGGAAUUCUUGGUGUAGCAGUGAAAUGCGUGGAUAUCAAGAGGAACACUCGUGGCGAAAGCGAGCUACUGGACAACACCUGACGCUGAGGCUCGAAGGCCAGGGGAGCGAAAGGGAUUAGAUACCCUGGUAGUC
rnacentral:rRNA from 1 species